CAUGCCGCGUGUGUGAAGAAGGCCUUCGGGUUGUAAAGCACUUUCAGCGAGGAGGAAAAGCGAGGGUUAAUACCCCUUUGCCUUGACGCUACUCGCAGAAGAAGCACCGGCUAAUUUCGUGCCAGCAACUGCGGUGACUGAGCGGGCUGGCAAGGCGCAUA
rnacentral:rRNA from 1 species